CGAAACGAUGCCCCUGGGAUGAGUAGUCGCUUUAAGCCUUUCAGAGAGCUCUUGGCUGGUGGAAAAGAGCAGACUUUGGCAAUGAAGAUGGUCCUGGAUUAAUGGCGUAUUGGCGAAAUAAGUAGUCAGUACCGGCAAGCGACCGUUAUCUCGCUGAGUCAAUGACUUGAUAAGGCUGUUUUGGCGACAAGACGGCAAAUAAAGGUGGCAUCACGAAAAAACUCGUCCUUUAA
rfam:Lactobacillus mucosae LM1, complete genome.